GUCUUUUUGUAUUAAAUAUAAAGUCUCGCCUGCCCACUGAUUAAUUUGAAUGGCCGCGGUAUUUUGACCGUGCUAAGGUAGCAUAAUCAUUAGUUUUUUUAUUGAAAGCUGGAAUGAAGGGUUGGAUGAAAAAAAAACUGUCUUUAUUUAAUUUAUAAAGAAUUUUAUUUUUAAGUUAAAAAGCUUAAAUUUUUUUAAAAGACGAGAAGACCCUAUAGAGUUUUAUAAAAUUAUUAAUAAGUUUUUUUAGUAUUAAAUUUAUUUAUAUAAUAAAUUUAUUUAAUUGGGGUGAUUAAAAAAUAAAUUUAACUUUUUUUAUAUUAUUAUAUUAAUUAAUAAUUUUUUGAUCCAAUUUUUUUGAUUAUAAGAAUAAAUUACCUUAGGGAUAACAGCGUAAUUUUAUUGGAGAGUUCAAAUCGAUAAUAAAGAUUGCGACCUCGAUGUUGGAUUAAAGUUUAUAAUUGGUGUAGCAGCUAUAUUAUUAAGUCUGUUCGACU
rnacentral:rRNA from 1 species